UACAGAGGUCCCAAGCGUUGUUCGGAUUCACUGGGCGUAAAGGGUGCGUAGGUGGUGAGGUAAGUCGGAUGUGAAAGCUCGGAGCUCAACUCCGAAAUGGCAUUGGAAACUACCUUGCUCGAGGGUUGGAGGGGGGACUGGAAUACUUGGUGUAGCAGUAAAAUGCGUAGAUAUCAAGUGGAACACCAGUGGCGAAGGCGAGUCCCUGGACAACUCCUGACACUGAGGCACGAAAGCUAGGGGAGCAAACAGG
rnacentral:rRNA from 1 species